CGCGUAGGUGGUUUGUUAAGUUGGAUGUGAAAGCCCCGGGCUCAACCUGGGAACUGCAUCCAAAACUGGCAAGCUAGAGUACGGUAGAGGGUGGUGGAAUUUCCUGUGUAGCGGUGAAAUGCGUAGAUAUAGGAAGGAGCACCAGUGGCGAAGGCGACCACCUGGACUGAUACUGACACUGAGGUGCGAAAGCGUGGGGAGCAAACA
rnacentral:rRNA from 1 species